rnacentral:tRNA from 1 species
UGCCUUAAAAGCUACAAAAAGCAAAUAAUCUUGUAAAUUAUAAGAUAAAGGUUUAAAUCCUUUUUAAG